UUCUAGAAUAAGGGAGGCCACUGCGUAUGAGAUUGACCAACCUCGGCGCAGUGAUUUACCGGGAACCAGCAUAGCAACGAACGACAACUCGGCGCCCGACAACUCUGUAAUAAAAAUUGCCAAUUUUCGCGGUUAAACUUAAAAAGAGUCCAUGUCAACUGCUGACAGUGAAGAGCCAGGCAGUCUGACCCAUGAUAGGAGGGAGCCAAGUGAAGAGCCAGCCAGUCUGACCCAUGAUAGGAGGGAGCCAAGUGAAGAGCCAGCCAGUCUGACCCAUGAUUCUUGACAUGACUCAUGGUGAACUAAAAUUGCUUGCCAAAGCAUCUGGGACAUGAUGUGAAGACCCACAAGGAAUAUUAUCAGUUGUCUUCCAGUACCAUGGAACUCUCAAAGGUUGCCCUGAUGUUGUAUGCUGUUGAAAAUGGUAAAGUCAAUGAGUGGAAGGGAAGGCAGAUGAAGGACAUAGUAGUAGAAGAUUUACCUCUUCCAAUUGAAGACGAAGAUGGCCAUCAAGAAG